rnacentral:rRNA from 1 species
UACGUAGGGUGCGAGCGUUGUCCGGAAUUAUUGGGCGUAAAGAGCUUGUAGGCGGUUUGUCGCGUCUGCCGUGAAAAUUCGAGGCUCAACCUCGAACUUGCGGUGGGUACGGGCAGACUAGAGUGUGGUAGGGGAGACUGGAAUUCCUGGUGUAGCGGUGAAAUGCGCAGAUAUCAGGAAGGAACACCCGGUGGCUAAGGCGGCUCUCGUAGUACGGUACUGACGCUGAGAGCGAAAGCGUGGGGAGCGAACAGG